AUACGGAGGAUGCGAGCGUUAUCCGGAUUUAUUGGGUUUAAAGGGUGCGUAGGCGGACGAUUAAGUCAGCUGUGAAAUGCCCGCGCUUAACGCGGGAAGUGCAGUUGAUACUGGUUGUCUGGAGUGCCGUUGCCGUGGGGGGAAUGUGUAGUGUAGCGGUGAAAUGCAUAGAUAUUACACAGAACGCCGAUUGUGAAGACACCUCACGAAGCGGUAACUGACGCUGAGGCACGAAAGCGUGGGGAUCGAACAGGAUUAGAUACCCUGGUAGUCCUGGCAGUAAACGAUGUAUGCUGGGUGUGAGACUAGCGAUAGUUUCGUGCCGAAGUUAACGCGAUAAGCAUACCGCCUGGGGAGUACGGUCGCAAGAUUGAAACUCAAAGGAAUUGGCGGGG
rnacentral:rRNA from 1 species